GCCCGUAGCUCAGCAAGGUAGAGCGGCGGACUAGCCUUCGGGAUGGUCCCGGGUUCAAUUCCCGGCGGGC
rnacentral:tRNA from 1 species